AUAAUUAGGUGGUGACUCUUCAACUUUAAUCAAAUAUGAAAUUGCCUAUAUGUUGUACCUAAUUUGACCCAUGUUAAAAUAAGGUGUAACAAAGGUCAAAGGAUAUAGCUUCAGUGAAAGUACAGUGGAGAGGUCGGCCUAUGGGGAGCUACCUGGGAGACCGAGCGGGAGAUGCAGAGCACAUAUCCUCACCUGUUUGAGGCUUUAGGUAUGUUUCUUGACCCGUUCGAGCACGAACGUUUGUUUAAGUUGGGGACUAUGUGAUGACCCGGCCAGUUGUUUGAGUUAUUGCUCCAUUUCUCCCAUUUAUAUUUCUUUAUACUUUGUUAUCCAUAUUUUGUGGUAUUGGGUUGGUCGGAUCGAGUCCGGAAUGAUUUUGGUAAGGUUUGAGACACUUAGUCUCUUUUAAGAAGGUUUAAGUUGGAAAAGUUCAACCGGAAUUUGACCUAUGUAUUUGAGGGCUCGGAUAUGACUUAGGAUGGUUCGGUUAGCUCCGGGAGGUGAUUUAUGACUUAGUAGUGUAAUCGGAAUGGGUUUAGGAGGUCCGGAGUAGAAUUAGGCGUGAAUUGGCGAAGUUGAUAUUUUGGCGAUUUCCUAUUGAUAGGUGAGAUUUUCUUAGAAGGGUCAGAAUAAAAUUCCGAGAGUUAAAGUAGCUUGCUUGUGUCAUUUGGGAUGUGAGUGCAAAAUUUUAGCUCAUUCAGAUGUGGUUUGGUUGUGUUUUUUUAUCAAAAGUGUGUUUCGGAAGAUUUUAGAAACUUAGGCUUGAAUCCGAUGUAUUUUGGGUGAUUUGAUGUUGUUUGAGGUGUUUUAUGAUUGGAACAAGUUUGAAUAAGGUUUUGAGAUGUGUUGGUACUUUUGGUUGAGGUCCUGGGGGCCUCGGGUGAGGUUCGGAUGGUCAAUCGGACAAUUUCGUGCCUUAAAAGAUAGCAGAAAGCUGCAGGUUCAGUGUUGCAUGAAAUUGCUCUUCGCGAUCACAUAGAAGGAAUCAAGGUAGGGCAUCCAGUUCGCAUUCGCGAUUGCAGGCACGCUAUCCCAUAGCAUGGGAGAAUUGUUCAUCGCGAACGCGUGAGCGAAGUUGCAUUCGCGUAGGAUCAAUUGGACAUGGGUCUUGGCAUGUCGUUUGUGCAUUGCGCGAUGCGGGGUUAUGUCCGUGAUCGCGUAAGGUUUUUCAUCUGGUCAUCGCAUUUUCAUGUUCUUUGUCGCAUUCGCAUAGUAUAUUUUUGGGGAGUUUAAACUUUGUUCUUCGGAAUCGCGAGGGAAGUGUCGCGAUCGCGAUGAAGGAGAUGAGGCAUGUGCAGAAUGUUUCUAAAGUCAUCUUAUUUGCAAAUGUAGGUCUAUUUUCACCCAUAGCUGCUCAUUUUGAGAGAUGUUUGAAGUAGAUUGAAGAGGGAUUCAAGGGGAAAUGAUUUGAGGUAAUAAGUUCGGACCUAAAACUUGAUUCUAUUGUGAAAUCUACCUAGAAAAUCAUGGAAAUUUAAGCUAAAAAUGGAAGAACCAGGGCUUGGAAUUUUGGACUUUUGAUUAGGGAUUGGAGGACCAUUUAGCGUCAGAUUUGAGAACUUUUGAUAUGUAUGAACUCGUGGGGAGAUAAGGAACCCAUUGAUGUAAAAAAUUUUGAAUUUUGAGACCGAGACUCGGAUUUUGCUAAUUUCGGGAUUUUUGGUAUUUUUUUAUUGUUUUCACUUGGGCUUUGUUCCCUUAGCAAAUUGUGACGUAUUCGUUCUGAUUUUGGAUAGACUCAAUGCGCGUGGAGGCCGAUUCGAGGGACAAAGGCAUUGCGAGCUAUAGAUUUAGCCGGUUAGAGGUGAGUAAUGAUUGUAAAUGAUGCUCUGAGGGUUGGAAACCCCGAAUUUGCACAUCGUAGAGCUAUAUUGAGGCGAGACAUGUGCUUGAUGAUGAGCGUGGGGUCGUAUAAUAUUGAGGAUUGUGACUUGGUCCGUACUAAUUGAUGUUUUUGCCACAUAUUUGACUGAAACUUAUUUUCUAUCAUCAUGAUUUGCGAUCAAUGCCAAUUAUAUGAACCUUUCGGGGAUUUUCAUUACUAUUUCCUUACUGUUUUGACUUAUUACUUGAACUCAGUCUUGAUAAUUUCCAUUGUUUUAUUAUUCAGCCAUUCUUUCUCAGUUUUUAAGACUUUAAUGAUAUUUUAAAUGAUGUUUGGGCUGAAAAUACUAUUUUACUAUUAAUCGAGGGGGUUGUGAUAAUUUUUGGACAGAGUAAUAUCGACUGUGAGGAACAUUGAUACCAAUUUGAGGACGAGGGCAUGAGAUACAUAUAUGUCACGAGGUGGUUUGAUUGAUACGAGGCCUAUAGCCUAGAUUUGAUUCCACGAGAUGGAUUGUUAUUGUGUUUGGGCCGUAAAGGGCCUCUCCCAAAGUCUGUACACCGCCAGUGAGCGCGGGUACCCAGUUGUGAUAUGAGAUUGAGCCCGAGGGGCUGGUACUCUACUAAAAUAUAGAUCGAGGGGUGGAUUUGUGGAUACUGAGCCGGAGUACUCACAUUACUCCUUGCAUCGUAUGUGCAGAUUUACACGUCGAUGUGUCGGGUUGGAUAUUCCAUACCUUAUUAUACAUUUUUCACUAUUUAGUAUCAUUUAAUCAUUCUUAUAUUGCUUUCAUGUUAAUUAACUGCUUAAAAUGAGAAUUUGGUUCAAUUGGCUGGCCUUUUCCUCACGAGAGGCUUUAUCACGACCGAGUUCGGGGUUAGUGUCGUAACAAAUAGAAAGGCAAUAGCAAAUCCAUAAAUGUUUCUUUAAGUCUUCUCUGGUGGAGGCCAGUGCACAAGUCCUAUACUUGUAGGAGCGAUUCAUGUGCACUUUGCUUUUCCUUUUGGCCUAUCUACUUUAGCUUUGUAAUCACACUUGGAAGGCAUGAAUGAAGAAAAUCACUAAUUUAUUCUA
rnacentral:lncRNA from 1 species